AAUCCAGACAAUUGCCAGGAGACAAUACAAACUCAAAGACAACACAAGAAGUUUGGUUCUCUUCCAACGAAGAAAAACAUUCUGGAGGACAUUAUUAGCCAUCAUUUCUCACAGCAUCCAAGCUAAGUUCCAAGUUUCCAAGAAUCUGAAGAAAGUCCAGCUCAGCCAUUGAAGACACGGCAACAUAAUCCUCCAUAUUAUAGUAAGCAGA